CUGCAUACAAGUGUCUCGAAGAGAGCUAUGAGGCUAAGCAAGAAGACAUCAUCCUAUAUGGUCAAUUGUUGGGAGUGGUCCGUCUUUAGAUCUUGCAGCCCAUUUGCCUCGACUUAGGGCUAUUGUUUUACAUAGUGCUAUCCUAUCAGGCUUAAGAGUCAUGUAUCCUGUGAGGCGUUCAUAUUGGUUUGACAUUUAUAUGGUAACUGUUUGGUUCUUGAACUAUAUGAUUAAUUCAAUUAUAUUUCUUAAUAUUAUUCUUGCUCGCUAUACUUAAACUAAGUGCCUCCUUUUUUAUAUCUACAUGCUUGCCAUUAUAAAAAUGUUGUCAUUUUCCAUAUUUGUGGACGUAACUUUAUGUUGGUGUUGUGCAGAACAUUGAAAAAAUUCCAUUGGUGAAGUGUCCUAUUUUCGUUAUUCAUAUAAGUACAAAUUUGCUCUCUGUGAUUACAUAAAACAAUUAUUCAAUAUUGUUUAUCAUCAUCACUCCAAUAACUUUUAGUAGCAACUUCAUUCUCAUGAGAAAUAUUUGUACCAACCCGUGCCCUACUUCAGUUGGAUCUUUGCACCCGAAUAUGUGUUCAGAUAUAGCUAAUUGAUUUUAGUCAUUAUACUACAUUUCCAUGUUUAUGUGCAAAGCACUGCUUAUGAUGUUGUCGACUGCUCUCACGGGAAACUGUUGAAAAUUGGGCUAUCUCAAAUUUCUUUGGACCGUGUUUUUGCAAAAUAAGUCAGGCCCAAACCUAUUUUAUAAAAACGUGUUUUGUGGAAAAACGUCUUUUGCCCCCUAUGAGGGCUGGGAUGUGCCAUACACGUGGCACAGCCCCAACCCUUGGAUCAAAUUAUUCACUUAAACGGAUAUCUACCUUGGUCCUUUAGUCUUCUGCAGUUGGAACGGUUUAGUUACUCUCUAGAAUUUUCUUGUGUACUCUCUUUCUCUCUCUGUGUGAGGGUUUCUUCUUCUUCUUCGUGUUUUUCAUUCUCUCUGAAAAUCUGAAAUUCUUUGUAUUGUAAUCUUUCAUUCUGUAAAGAAAGGUUGAGUGAUCUGUGUGAUCUUGUUUGAGAGAGAAGUUGUGUGAAAGGAGGCGAGAUAAAACGAAGAAAUCUCUGAUUUCUUCGAAGAGAAAGGUAACUAUUGAUGGAUAUCUCAUUUUCUUGAAUUGUUAAGUAACUUAUUCCUUUCCAAAUAUAUUUGGAUAUAUUGCUUUUUCUUACUUGUAAAGGAAAAAAAAAAUUAUUUUGACAGUCAAGUUAAUCUCAAAAUGAGUUACUUACUCCUCUUCAACUUUGACCAGUAAUUUAGUUGUUUAUUCUAGUACUUACUUAUUUACUUAUAAAAUUAUAAGUUUGGCCUAACAUGCACCAAGUGAUUAUCGCCUUAGAGCACCUUUUGAUAUUAGUUUGCUUGCUCCAAUGCAGACAAGUGAUCACAAUACUUAUGCAGAUAUUGAAGCUGCAUACAAGUGUCUCGAAGAGAGCUAUGAGGCUAAGCAAGAAGACAUCAUCCUAUAUGGUCAAUUGUUGGGAGUGGUCCGUCUUUAGAUCUUGCAGCCCAUUUGCCUCGACUUAGGGCUAUUGUUUUACAUAGUGCUAUCCUAUCAGGCUUAAGAGUCAUGUAUCCUGUGAGGCGUUCAUAUUGGUUUGACAUUUAUAUGGUAACUGUUUGGUUCUUGAACUAUAUGAUUAAUUCAAUUAUAUUUCUUAAUAUUAUUCUUGCUC
rnacentral:lncRNA from 1 species